rnacentral:rRNA from 1 species
GACUCGUCACACUAUCAUUAACUGAAUCCAUAGGUUAAUGAGGCGAACCGGGGGAACUGAAACAUCUAAGUACCCCGAGGAAAAGAAAUCAACCGAGAUUCCCCCAGUAGCGGCGAGCGAACGGGGAGGAGCCCAGAGCCUGAAUCAGCAUGUGUGUUAGUGGAAGCGUCUGGAAAGGCGCGCGAUACAGGGUGACAGCCCCGUACACAAAAGCGCAUGUGCUGUGAGCUCGAUGAGUAGGGCGGGACACGUGGUAUCCUGUCUGAAUAUGGGGGGACCAUCCUCCAAGGCUAAAUACUCCUGACUGACCGAUAGUGAACCAGUACCGUGAGGGAAAGGCGAAAAGAACCCCGGCGAGGGGAGUGAAAAAGAACCUGAAACCGUGUACGUACAAGCAGUGGGAGCCCCACCACUAAGCCAGUGGUGAACUCCACAUACGCAUCCUUUGCUGAGGAUACGGUUAACGGAGCGAAAGCGACGUUCAACCGCAAAAGAAGCAGAGGGGGCUUAGUGGUGGGGUGACUGCGUACCUUUUGUAUAAUGGGUCAGCGACUUAUAUUCUGUAGCAAGGUUAACCGAAUAGGGGAGCCGGAGGGAAACCGAGUCUUAAUUGGGCGUUAAGUUGCAGGGUAUAGACCCGAAACCCGGUGAUCUAGCCAUGGGCAGGUUGAAGGUUGGGUAACACUAACUGGAGGACCGAACCGACUAAUGUUGAAAAAUUAGCGGAUGACCUGUGGCUGGGGGUGAAAGGCCAAUCAAACCGGGAGAUAGCUGGUUCUCCCCGAAAGCUAUUUAGGUAGCGCCUCGUGAAUUCAUCUCCGGGGGUAGAGCACUGUUUCGGCUAGGGGGCCAUCCCGGCUUACCAACCCGAUGCAAACUGCGAAUACCGGAGAAUGUUAUCACGGGAGACACACGGCGGGUGCUAACGUCCGUCGUGAAGAGGGAAACAACCCAGACCGCCAGCUAAGGUCCCAAAGUCAUGGUUAAGUGGGAAACGAUGUGGGAAGGCCCAGACAGCCAGGAUGUUGGCUUAGAAGCAGCCAUCAUUUAAAGAAAGCGUAAUAGCUCACUGGUCGAGUCGGCCUGCGCGGAAGAUGUAACGGGGCUAAACCAUGCACCGAAGCUGCGGCAGCGAACGUAUCACCCAAGACAACUUUACGGAGUUGACGAUUGACGGAGCGAAGCGACGUCAAAGCGUUCAUUAAAGUCGAGUUGGCUUAGGGAUACGUUCGUUGGGUAGGGGAGCGUUCUGUAAGCCUGUGAAGGUGUGUCGUGAGGCAUGCUGGAGGUAUCAGAAGUGCGAAUGCUGACAUAAGUAACGAUAAAGCGGGUGAAAAGCCCGCUCGCCGGAAGACCAAGGGUUCCUGUCCAACGUUAAUCGGGGCAGGGUGAGUCGACCCCUAAGGCGAGGCCGAAAGGCGUAGUCGAUGGGAAACGGGUUAAUAUUCCCGUACUUGGUGUUACUGCGAAGGGGGGACGGAGAAGGCUAUGUUGGCCGGGCGACGGUUGUCCCGGUUUAAGCGUGUAGGUGUGUGUUCCAGGUAAAUCCGGUUCACUUUAACACUGAGGCGUGAUGACGAGGCACUACGGUGCUGAAGCAACAAAUGCCCUGCUUCCAGGAAAAGCCUCUAAGCAUCAGGUAACAUCAAAUCGUACCCCAAACCGACACAGGUGGUCAGGUAGAGAAUACCAAGGCGCUUGAGAGAACUCGGGUGAAGGAACUAGGCAAAAUGGUGCCGUAACUUCGGGAGAAGGCACGCUGACACGUAGGUGAAGUGAUUUACUCACGGAGCUGAAGUCAGUCGAAGAUACCAGCUGGCUGCAACUGUUUAUUAAAAACACAGCACUGUGCAAACACGAAAGUGGACGUAUACGGUGUGACGCCUGCCCGGUGCCGGAAGGUUAAUUGAUGGGGUCAGCGCAAGCGAAGCUCCUGAUCGAAGCCCCGGUAAACGGCGGCCGUAACUAUAACGGUCCUAAGGUAGCGAAAUUCCUUGUCGGGUAAGUUCCGACCUGCACGAAUGGCGUAAUGAUGGCCAGGCUGUCUCCACCCGAGACUCAGUGAAAUUGAACUCGCUGUGAAGAUGCAGUGUACCCGCGGCAAGACGGAAAGACCCCGUGAACCUUUACUAUAGCUUGACACUGAACAUUGAGCCUUGAUGUGUAGGAUAGGUGGGAGGCUUUGAAGUGUGGACGCCAGUCUGCAUGGAGCCGACCUUGAAAUACCACCCUUUAAUGUUUGAUGUUCUAACGUGGACCCGUUACCCGGGUUGCGGACAGUGUCUGGUGGGUAGUUUGACUGGGGCGGUCUCCUCCUAAAGAGUAACGGAGGAGCACGAAGGUUGGCUAAUCCUGGUCGGACAUCAGGAGGUUAGUGCAAUGGCAUAAGCCAGCUUGACUGCGAGCGUGACGGCGCGAGCAGGUGCGAAAGCAGGUCAUAGUGAUCCGGUGGUUCUGAAUGGAAGGGCCAUCGCUCAACGGAUAAAAGGUACUCCGGGGAUAACAGGCUGAUACCGCCCAAGAGUUCAUAUCGACGGCGGUGUUUGGCACCUCGAUGUCGGCUCAUCACAUCCUGGGGCUGAAGUAGGUCCCAAGGGUAUGGCUGUUCGCCAUUUAAAGUGGUACGCGAGCUGGGUUUAGAACGUCGUGAGACAGUUCGGUCCCUAUCUGCCGUGGGCGCUGGAGAACUGAGGGGGGCUGCUCCUAGUACGAGAGGACCGGAGUGGACGCAUCACUGGUGUUCGGGUUGUCAUGCCAAUGGCACUGCCCGGUAGCUAAAUGCGGAAGAGAUAAGUGCUGAAAGCAUCUAAGCACGAAACUUGCCCCGAG